UCUGGUGACUAUAGCAAGGAGGUCACACCUGUUCCCAUGCCGAACACAGAAGUUAAGCUCCUUAGCGUCGAUGGUAGUCGAA
rnacentral:rRNA from 3 species